CCAAUAGCGUAUAUUAAAGUUGUUGCAGUUAAAAAGCUCGUAGUUGAAUUUCGGGAUCAAUUAAUUGGUCAUGCCUAUGGUACGUACUGAUUUUAUUGGUUUCUCCCUUCUGACAAACCAUGAUGUCAUUGAUUUGGUGUCGUGGAGAAUCAGGACUGUUACUUUGAAAAAAUUAGAGUGUUUAAAGCGAGCUAACGCUUGAAUACAUUAGCAUGGAAUAAUGAAAUAGGACGUUUGAUCCUAUUUUUGUUGGUUUCUAGGAUCGACGUAAUGAUUAAUAGGGAUAGUUGGGGGCAUUAGUAUUCAAUUGUCAGAGGUGAAAUUCUUGGAUUUAUUGAAGACUAACUACUGCGAAAGCAUUUGCCAAGGAUGUUUUCAUUAAUCAAGAACGAAAGUUAGGGGAUCGAAGACGAUCAGAUACCGUCGUAGUCUUAACCAUAAACUAUGCCGACUAGGGAUCGGAUGAUGUUAAUUUUUUAAUGACUCAUUCGGCGCCUUACG
rnacentral:rRNA from 1 species